CAGGCUUAACACAUGCAAGUCGAGGGGCAGCAUUUCAGUUUGCUUGCAAACUGGAGAUGGCGACCGGCGCACGGGUGAGUAACACGUAUCCAACCUGCCGAUAACUCGGGGAUAGCCUUUCGAAAGAAAGAUUAAUACCCGAUGGUAUAAUCAGACCGCAUGGUCUUGUUAUUAAAGAAUUUCGGUUAUCGAUGGGGAUGCGUUCCAUUAGGCAGUUGGUGAGGUAACGGCUCACCAAACCUUCGAUGGAUAGGGGUUCUGAGAGGAAGGUCCCCCACAUUGGAACUGAGACACGGUCCAAACUCCUACGGGAGGCAGCAGUGAGGAAUAUUGGUCAAUGGGCGCAGGCCUGAACCAGCCAAGUAGCGUGAAGGAUGACUGCCCUAUGGGUUGUAAACUUCUUUUAUAUGGGAAUAAAGUUUUCCACGUGUGGAAUUUUGUAUGUACCAUAUGAAUAAGGAUCGGCUAACUCCGUGCCAGCAGCCGCGGUAAUACGGAGGAUCCGAGCGUUAUCCGGAUUUAUUGGGUUUAAAGGGAGCGUAGGUGGACAGUUAAGUCAGUUGUGAAAGUUUGCGGCUCAACCGUAAAAUUGCAGUUGAUACUGGCUGUCUUGAGUACAGUAGAGGUGGGCGGAAUUCGUGGUGUAGCGGUGAAAUGCUUAGAUAUCACGAAGAACUCCGAUUGCGAAGGCAGCUCACUGGACUGCAACUGACACUGAUGCUCGAAAGUGUGGGUAUCAAACAGGAUUAGAUACCCUGGUAGUCCACACAGUAAACGAUGAAUACUCGCUGUUUGCGAUAUACAGUAAGCGGCCAAGCGAAAGCAUUAAGUAUUCCACCUGGGGAGUACGCCGGCAACGGUGAAACUCAAAGGAAUUGACGGGGGCCCGCACAAGCGGAGGAACAUGUGGUUUAAUUCGAUGAUACGCGAGGAACCUUACCCGGGCUUAAAUUGCAUUUGAAUAUAUUGGAAACAGUAUAGCCGUAAGGCAAAUGUGAAGGUGCUGCAUGGUUGUCGUCAGCUCGUGCCGUGAGGUGUCGGCUUAAGUGCCAUAACGAGCGCAACCCUUAUCUUUAGUUACUAACAGGUCAUGCUGAGGACUCUAGAGAGACUGCCGCCGUAAGAUGUGAGGAAGGUGGGGAUGACGUCAAAUCAGCACGGCCCUUACGUCCGGGGCUACACACGUGUUACAAUGGGGGGUACAGAAGGCAGCUACCUGGUGACAGGAUGCUAAUCCCAAAAGCCUCUCUCAGUUCGGAUCGAAGUCUGCAACCCGACUUCGUGAAGCUGGAUUCGCUAGUAAUCGCGCAUCAGCCAUGGCGCGGUGAAUACGUUCCCGGGCCUUGUACACACCGCCCGUCAAGCCAUGAAAGCCGGGGGUACCUGAAGUACGUAACCGCAAGGAGCGCCCUAGGGUAAAACUGGUAAUUGGGGCUAAGUCAUAAC
rnacentral:rRNA from 1 species